rnacentral:rRNA from 1 species
AGCGAACGCUGGCGGCAGGCUUAACACAUGCAAGUCGAGCGGGCACUUUCGGGUGUCAGCGGCGGACGGGUGAGUAACGCGUGGGAACGUGCCCUCUGGUUCGGAAUAACUCAGGGAAACUUGAGCUAAUACCGGAUACGCCCCUUUGGGGAAAGGCUUGCUGCCGGAGGUUCGGUCCGCGUCUGAUUAGCUAGUUGGUGAGGUAACGGCUCACCAAGGCGACGAUCAGUAGCUGGUCUGAGAGGAGGAUCAGCCACACUGGGACUGAGACACAGCCCAGACUGCUACGGGAGGGAGCGGUGGAGAAUAUUGGAGAAUGGGCGCAAGCCUGAUCCAGCCAUGCGGGGUGAGUGAUGAAGGCCUUAGGGUAGUAAAGCUGUUUUAUCCGGGACGAUAAUGACGGUACCGGAGGAAUAAGCCCCGGCUAACUACGUG